rnacentral:rRNA from 1 species
AACGAACGCUGGCGGCAUGCCUAACACAUGCAAGUCGAACGAGACCUUCGUGUCUAGUUGCUCACGGGUGCGUAACGCGUGGGAACCUGCCCGUAGGCUCGGAAUACUACCCCGUAGGGGGGGCUAAUACCGGAUAAUGUACUCGAACCAAAGAUUUAUCGACUUUGGGUGGGCGCGCGUUGUUUUGGCUUGUUGCGAGGGGAAAAGCCUACCACGGCGAGGAUCCAUAGCUGGUCUGAGAGGAAGAUCAGCCACACUGGGACUAGGACACGGCCCAGAAUAUUACGGGAGGGAGCAGUGGGGGAUAUUGGAAUAUGGGCGAAAGCCUGAUCCAGCAAUGCCGCGUAAGUGAUGAAGGCCGUAGGGUUGUAAAGCUCGUUUAUACGGGAUGAUAAUGACAGUACCGAGAGAAUAAGCUCCGGCUAACUUCGUG